rnacentral:rRNA from 1 species
AUUGAACGCUGGCGGCAGGCCUAACACAUGCAAGUCGAGCGGUUGACGGGAGCUUGCUCCCUGAUUCAGCGGCGGACGGGUGAGUAAUGCCUAGGAAUCUGCCUAUUAGUGGGGGACAACGUUUCGAAAGGAACGCUAAUACCGCAUACGUCCUACGGGAGAAAGCAGGGGACCUUCGGGCCUUGCGCUUAUAGAUGAGCCUAGGUCGGGUUAGGUUGUUGGUGAGGUAAUGGCUCACCAAGGCGACGUUCCGUAACUGGUCUGAGAGGAUGAUCAGUCACACUGGAACUGAGACACGGUCCAGACUCCUACGGGGUGCAGCAGUGGGGAAUAUUGGACAAUGGGCGAAAGCCUGAUUCAGCCAUGCCGCGUGUGUGAAGAAGGUCUUCGGAUUGUAAAGCACUUUAAGUUGGGAGGAAGGGUUGUAGAUUAAUACUCUGCAAUUUUGACGUUACCGACAGAAUAAGCACCGGCUAACUCUGUGCCAGCAGCCGCUGUAAGAC